rnacentral:rRNA from 1 species
AUUGAACGCUGGCGGCAGGCCUAACACAUGCAAGUCGAGCGGCAGCGACUUAACUGAACCUUCGGGGAACGUUAAGGGCGGCGAGCGGCGGACGGGUGAGUAAUGCCUGGGAAUAUGCCCUGAUGUGGGGGAUAACUAUUGGAAACGAUAGCUAAUACCGCAUAAUCUCUUCGGAGCAAAGAGGGGGACCUUCGGGCCUCUCGCGUCAGGAUUAGCCCAGGUGGGAUUAGCUUGUUGGUGAGGUAAUGGCUCACCAAGGCAACGAUCCCUAGCUGGUCUGAGGGGAUGAUCAGCCACACUGGAACUGAGACACGGUCCAGACUCCUACGGGAGGCAGCAGUGGGGAAUAUUGCACAAUGGGGGAAACCCUGAUGCAGCCAUGCCGCGUGUGUGAAGAAGGCCUUCGGGUUGUAAAGCACUUUCAGUAGGGAGGAAGGUAGUGUAGUUAACACCUGCAUUAUUUGACGUUACCUACAGAAGAAGCACCGGCUAACUCCGUGCCAGCAGCCGCGGUAAUACGGAGGGUGCGAGCGUUAAUCGGAAUUACUGGGCGUAAAGCGCAUGCAGGCGGCCUGUUAAGUCAGAUGUGAAAGCCCGGGGCUUAACCUCGGAAUUGCAUUUGAAACUGGCAGGCUAGAGUCUUGUAGAGGGGGGUAGAAUUUCAGGUGUAGCGGUGAAAUGCGUAGAGAUCUGAAGGAAUACCAGUGGCGAAGGCGGCCCCCUGGACAAAGACUGACGCUCAGAUGCGAAAGCGUGGGGAGCAAACAGG